rnacentral:tRNA from 1 species
UGGAUAUUAAGUUAAUAAAAACUGUAUGAUUCAUGUUCAUGUAUUGUGCGGUAAUGCACAUAUCCUU